UUUGUGUAGGUGAGGGGUCUGCUUCAGCAGGAGCUCGGCCUCAAACAAGAAGCCUUUCAGCGAGCGGACAAACUGCAGAACCAGCUGACCGACAUGGAAGCAGCUCUGUCUACAUGCACUUCUACAACAGGGCAAAGCAGGACUUAUUACACGCUGUCAGUCAGCAGAUUGAGUGCCAGGAGUCCCUCAGCAGGGCCACGCAGGGCCGGGCAGCGGCAGUCCGCCCUGCAGCUUGGCAGCCUAACAAAGUACGCCACACUUCAGGACAUCGCUACAGA